CUCUUCUUGGUCAAGGUUGAAUCCCUCAGAUGACAUCGUGGACUGUGGAGCAAAUCAUCACAGACAUCCUCGGUGAGAGUGAGGAUAUCUCCUUGAGGCUUCUCAGUCCUCUCCUUGCUAGUGUUCUAAAAGAAAAUAAGAAAGUUGCACCUUUGUGUUGGAAGCUUGGAGACAGGGUCAUUACCAGCUGUGCAGCUAAGCUUGGACCUCUUCUUUGGGGAGCAGUACAAUCAAAGGGCACUACUGUGGAUGAUUACUCUCCAGUUGUGGUUUCUGUACAUGAAAAUGAGCCAACUAUGGAGAAUAAUCAUGCUAAUGGUUCUUCACAACCAGUGGGUGUUGCCAUAACAUAAGAGAACUCGUUGUUGGACAAUACUGCGCGGAUUGAGGGCUGGUCGGCUAGAUUUCCAAUGUUUGACUGGGUGGGUGGCAGAACAUCUGAAAUGUCUGCAAUUGGUCUACUUCCAGCAGCCCUUCAAGGGAUUGAUAUCAGAGAAAUGCUUGCUGGCGCAUCCUUCAUGGAUGGGGCAACUAGGACAAAAGUGGUUGAGCAUUUCUCGGGGAUAAAGCGGAAGCCUGAGCCUACUAACUUGGGAGCACCAAAGAAGCCGAAAACUUUAAGUGUUAUUGACGGGUCUUCUAUUAUUUGUUGAGUUCGAGCAACUUACUAUUGGGGAUAGAAGUAACUUCAGGCUCUAGGCGUUGAUUGUAGCACAUUACAUUAUUCUAUAUACCUUUUAGCUUUAUCAACUAUGAAGAUCAAAAUAUAGAUGCUCUUGUUGCUUUUAAUGAUGUACUUAGACCUGUAAUGCCAACAAGACAGGCGGCAAUUUUUGAGAAUUCUUUGUUGCCCAAUAAUUGAAUGGCACCUUUAUUAGUGAUCUUCUUCAUUGUUACUGUUCCUAGAGAUGGU